GCACAAGCAGCGGAGCAUGUGGUUUAAUCGAAGCAACGCGAAGAACCUUACCAGGUCUUGACAUCCCCUGACAACCCGAGAGAUCGGGCGUUCCCCUUCGGGGGACAGGGUGACAGGUGGUGCAUGGUUGUCGUCAGCUCGUGUCGUGAGAUGUUGGGUUAAGUCCCGCAACGAGCGCAACCCUCGACCUUAGUUGCCAGCAUUCAGUUGGGCACUCUAAGGUGACUGCCGGCUAAAAGUCGGAGGAAGGUGGGGAUGACGUCAAAUCAUCAUGCCCCUUAUGACCUGGGCUACACACGUGCUACAAUGGGCGGUACAAAGGGUCGCGAACCCGCGAGGGGGAGCCAAUCCCAAAAAGCCGCUCUCAGUUCGGAUUGCAGGCUGCAACUCGCCUGCAUGAAGCCGGAAUCGCUAGUAAUCGCGGAUCAGCAUGCCGCGGUGAAUACGUUCCCGGGCCUU
rnacentral:rRNA from 1 species